AAUAUUGCACAAUGGGCGAAAGCCUGGUGCAGCAACGCCGCGUGAGUGAUGGAGCCCUCCGGGUCGUAAAGCUCUCUGAUCUGGGAUUAUAAUGACAGUACCUGAAAACCAACCCACGGCUAACUACUUUCCUGCAGCCGCGGUAAUACGUAGGUGGCGAGCGUUGUCCGGAAUUACUGGGCGUAAAGGAUGCGUAGGUGGAUAUUUAAGUGGGAUGUGAAAUCCCCGGGCUCAACCCGGGAACUGCAUUCCAAACUGGGUAUCUAGAGUGCAGGAGAGGAAAGCGGAAUUCCUAGUGUAGCGGUGAAAUGCGUAGAUAUUAGGAGGAACACCAGUGGCGAAGGCGGCUUUCUGGACUGUAACUGACACUGAGGCAUGAAAGCGUGGGUAGCAAACAGG
rnacentral:rRNA from 1 species